GUUGGCAAGGGGCUGUGCCACCCAGAGGUCCUGAGCGGGGGUCUCCUCUGCCCCUCACAGCCCUGGCCGGCAGCCCCGGGGGCCCGCCUGGCCCAUGUUGAGGCUGCCGGUUGCCAGGAUUCGAUGUGGGUUUGUCUGCCUUCCCCAGCCCAUGCCAACCCGCCCAGCAGGCCCCACUGCCUUGGCGACGCAUCACAGAGUCCACACAAAGGGAGGCUGCACUGCCUGCUGGGAGGCUGGUGCUGCCUGGUGUCUCCAUGGCGACGCUGACAUCACGGGGCCGGCUGCAGUAGGGCCCCAGGGGAGGCUCCCAGUGUUCUGGGGAGGAGGCCGGGUGGGUGGGCCUGCCUGCCCUGGGUCUGGGGGGGUCCUGACCCUGCCUGUCCCCACCUUGCCCGGGGCCCGUCUGAGACGCUGUCUCCUGACCCAUAACAGAGAGGGCAGUCUUCACCCGGGACUGACUGUGAUCAUGGAUAAGAUACAGGGAGGGCUGUCGUGAAGACCAUUCUGGUGACUUCCAGGGAAAGGCAGGGGCGGCCUGCACCCCUGGACUGCCUGGGCCCGUGAUACAAAAUCUCACUACGAAGCCCAGGCUGGUCUGGAACUCUCAGUGAUUCUCCCACCUCAGCCUCCUGAAUGCUAAGAUGACAGCUUCCUGGUCCUUGAUGCAGACCAGAAAAAAGGAAGAGGAGGAAGAGAAGGAGGAGGAAGAGGAAGAAGAGAAGGAAGAAGAGGAAGAAGAGAUGGAAGAAGGGGAAAGGAGAUCUGGAGCUGUCUCUUUAAAUCUUUCUAGAAGUCCAACAGGAAUAGAACAUUUAUCUGUGUGAAGGCUACACAGGCUUAACUAAAAAUGUCAAGUUUCUUUGCUGGAAUUUUAACAGGGAACAUGAUAAGUGUACAUUUAUUCAGUAAUGAUCAAUUCCGGGUUCUCUUUUGUAUGAGAUGAAAUGGUGACAUGCUGCUCAGAAGCUCUGCUUGGUUUUGUUUCAUACAAAAUCACCUCUUGAAGUUAUAAUUGCUGGAUGAAUGUUAUCUGAUUGUCCUAAACUCUUGCUCUUCUCUCUGUGUUGUGUGCCCUGGGGAGAGGCUACAAAGAUGGGAUAAUAAAAAAGUAAAAUGUUUGCUUUAAAAAAAUUUUUUUUUUUAAUUUUUUUUUUUAGAUAGG
rnacentral:lncRNA from 1 species